rnacentral:rRNA from 1 species
UACGGAGGGGGCUAGCGUUGUUCGGAAUUACUGGGCGUAAAGCGCGCGUAGGCGGACCUGCAAGUCGGGGGGUGAAAGCCCGAGGCUCAACCGUGGAAGUGCAUUCGAAACUGCAGGGCUAGAGUCCUGGAGAGGAAGGUGGAAUGCUUGGUGUAGAGGUGAAAUUCGUAGAUAUCAAGCGGAACACCGGUGGCGAAGGCGGCCUUCUGGACAGUGACUGACGCUGAGACGCGAAAGCGUGGGGAGCAAACAGGG